AUUGAACGCUGGCGGCAGGCUUAACACAUGCAAGUCGAGCGGGGUGAUGGUGCUCGCACUAUCACUUAGCGGCGGACGGGUGAGUAAUGCUUAGGAAUCUGCCUAUUAGUGGGGGACAACAUCUCGAAAGGGAUGCUAAUACCGCAUACGUCCUACGGGAGAAAGCAGGGGAUCACUUGUGACCUUGCGCUAAUAGAUGAGCCUAAGUCGGAUUAGCUAGUUGGUGGGGUAAAGGCCUACCAAGGCGACGAUCUGUAGCGGGUCUGAGAGGAGGAUCCGCCACACUGGGACUGAGACACGGCCCAGACUCCUACGGGAGGCAGCAGGGGGGAAUAUUGGACAAUGGGGGGAACCCUGAUCCAGCCAUGCCGCGUGUGUGAAGAAGGCCUUAUGGUUGUAAAGCACUUUAAGCGAGGAGGAGGCUCUUUUGGUUAAUACCCAAGAUGAGUGGGCGUUACUCGCAGAAUAAGCACCGGCUAACUCUGUGCCAGCAGCCGCGGUAA
rnacentral:rRNA from 1 species